CGGCGGCACUUCCCGGCGGCGGACACCGUGCAAGCGGCGCGUUACAGCCCCGGGAGUCCCGCAGCGCUGCGGGAGUGCCGCACCGCCGCCUGCCGAGCUCUGCGGGCCGCCCUGCAGCACCCCGCAGAGGAGGGAAAAGAGAGAGAGAGGUGGAGGCUGCCUGCCUUCCUGCAGUGCAUCUCUUGGAGCCGGAGGAGCCAGAGAAAAGGCCACGUGUCAAAAGCUGCCAACAAUGUUCAUGAAGACAACCUGCAGGACUCCCAAGAGGUGGCUCUGACCAGUCUGUCUCCCAAUGGUAACUACGAAGAUGCUGCUGGAGGUGUGGGCACCUAAAGCUGUGGGUGCCUGAUGUAAUCCCUGUCCCAGUCCUGCCUGGGUGGUGUGGAGCAGUGGAAGGAGGAGCUGUGCCCACUCACCCUCAGAGAGCCCACAGAUUUCACCAAGGUCUUCUGUGGCUGCCAACAGCCUCUGAGCUCCAU
rnacentral:lncRNA from 1 species